rnacentral:rRNA from 1 species
UGGGGAAUAUUGGACAAUGGGCGACAGCCUGAUCCAGCCAUGCCGCGUGUGUGAAGAAGGUCUUCGGAUUGUAAAGCACUUUAAGUUGGGAGGAAGGGCAGUAAGUUAAUACCUUGCUGUUUUGACGUUACCGACAGAAUAAGCACCGGCUAACUCUGUACCAG